rnacentral:ncRNA from 1 species
UUAAAGCCAUUUAAAAAAGCUGCCUUAUUUUAUAGCAAUAUAAAAUAUAAUCCGAUCAUAGCUAUAUGCUGGGAAAACUCAACGAAAGUUGAGAGGAUCAGCAGGGAAGGCCAACAAAGUGUUGGAACCCUCAGAGACUAAACGCUAUGCUCCGUCAAAAACGGAUGAAGAUAGAGUCCAUUGUAGAGGAAUCAAUAA